GUGGUUGGACGUUUUAUUGCUCCCUUUCUCUUUCUCUCCUCCUCUCUCUCUCUCCCUCUCUUUCUCCUCCUCUCUCGCUGUCUCCCCUCAGUCUCUCAGUCCCUCUUUAUCCGUCCGUGAGUUUGUUUGCCUUGGCGAGUGCAACAACUGGCUCCGAUCAGUGACUUUCCAAUCUUCUUGUUUUUAUUUGAUUUUUUUCCCCCUUAAUGAGUGAGCUGUGCCUACGUUCUCUACCACCUACCAUACUGGAAGAGUGCAUCUCCGGGACUAGAACGACUGGCUGGCUGGUUGGCUGGUUGCCUUACUGACUGUUUGACUGACAGACUCGGUGGGUCUUGGGUGCUUUGGGGCUGUGGCGUCCAGCAUAGAGGCUGAAGAUAUACAGGGGGGGUUACGCCUGUUUCAAUGCACCAGCGGCGGCAGUAGGAGCACAUAUUUCCCUGCGCUCUGUCCUCUGUGCUCCCUGCUCUCACUAGCAUGGUAAACCACAUGAAUCAAGCAUGGAACGGGGCCGCACGGCGCCGUCGGCAGCAACUGCAGCCUUAACGAUCCCAGUCUUCUCCUCGCAGGCGAGGCGACGUCAGAUGACUGACUCUCCGGCUUUGUGCACAGUGGAAGGGAAGCUCUCUCUCAGGAGGAACAGGAUUUUAAGGGGCUCUCAUUUUGCUUGGAUUUGCGUCAGUAAAAGCUGAUUGCCCAGUGCCACAGAGGAGUGCAAUCGAAUGAAGGGAAUUCCGAGGAGAAGAAUGGUCUGAUUGGUGCCUGCAGAACACAUCUGACAUGGAGGGCCCCACCUGCCCCAUCCUCGGGCAGCAGGCUAUCUUCAAUCAAUCACUCAACUCAUAGAGAACAUGACAUCACUCAGGCUCACACUACUAUUGAGGACCUCUUGAGUUCCCCUGCUGCUGUCCCCAAUGCCCUCUCUUCUCUUCCUCCCCCUCCUCUGUGACUCUCUUCGGUGACGGGUAUUCUUGGGUGGAUAAUACGGAUCACGUUGUUAUUGCUUAAGAAUACGCGUAGUUGAGGAGAGUCCUCUCGACACUGACUUGGAGGAGCUAAAGGAGCUAACGUCCCGCUGCAUGAGCCAAAGUAGAGCCAGGAUGACUGCCUGGUUUCCAUAUCCAGGACCAUUUAUCAAGUAACUGGACAGAUUAACAAAGCCUAAUUACUUUACUGGGCUUUCAGCUACGCUUUCCAGCCCCUAUAGACGCUAGCAGCAAAAAGAGAGAAAGCGAGAGAGAGAGAGAGAGAGAGAGAGAGAGAGAGAGAGAGGGAGGGAGAUAUUAAACUCUUACAGUUACCUCUCCCAGGAUGUUUUUUCGCAGUAUCGUAUUAUUGUGCAGUGUAAUAUGAUUUGAUUAACCAUUCUGACGAAUGUUGUGUCUUCUGUGUAUCGACUUCACCAGUGUUUAUUUAUUAUUUAGCAUUUUGUACAAUUUGUUCAUUUUGCCUUUCCGGAUGAAACAGGCUAUUAUGUUCGUUUUCACUUUAGGGAGUCGUGUCUUGUACUACAGGCUUGCUUGGUGCAGUAAUGGACAUUUUUAUUGGUCUUAAAAAUACAAAAGACCUCCUACGCAACAUUUAGCUUGCAUACAAAUAGAUUUUGUGGUAACACGGUUUCUGGCCUCAGGACUGCUGCCCAGAGAUGACCAUAUUGCCUGCGGAUACCUCAUUGAGAGUGAAAGAGUAGAUUGGGAGAAUAUGUCAGGAGAAUGAAAAACUAUGAAGGAGUAACUGAAUUUGAACCCAACAUAUGUAUAUUAUACCUCAAUCCUGUGUAUCAAUACUAAAGGAAAUUAUAUUACAGAGAGCUGGUUGUUAGUGAUCACAGAGUAAAUAUCAAUACUCAGAGAAACUGCACUGGCACAUUUAAUUUAUUCCACAAUCUUGCGCCAUACAGGCCAUCCCUCUGGAGAUAAAUUCUGCAAGCCCAGUAACAUCAUUCCCUGACUUAAUGUGUUUGCGACAAAGGGACAUUCUCAUCCAAAAUGAUUUGCACAUCAAGAAGAGUCAUUACGCUUUAAUGGUGUCGGGAAAUGACCCUCUCUUAGCUUACGCUGGUGGAAAUCAAUGAGGCCUGCAUUACAGUGUUAUUGUGGCGGUCAUUUUCUGCUGAAUCAUGCUGUUUAAUUUCUUGCCCUUCGACAAAUCAUCCACCGACUUAUCAAUUUGGCCAGAGAGCUUACGUUUGAUUGCAUUAGAUGAGAUCACAUAAAAUAAAUAACAUAAUUGAAGUUCCUCUAAAAAUGCUACCAUGACAUCUCUUGAGUCUGCUAUGAAUCUAAUGAUCCUAUCAAUCUCAAGCUUAUCUAAGACUGAAAGGAGAAGGCAAAUGUCUGCUCGAGCCUCUAUUGAAUCUAUUUGUACUGUCAUAAUUGGAUCCUACCAGUAGGGGAGCACUGUAGCUCACAGUCAGACAAUGAACUCAAUGAACUGUUAGCAAAGCUGUGUGUUUGGCAGGACAAAUGGGCAUAUGCUUUUGACCUUCUGUAAUUUCCGUUUAUGACAUUUUGAACAUCAUUUUCUCAUCAGACAUUUUCGUUAAUUGAUUGUAUCUAUUUUAAUGGCAUGUUGAAAACCCAGACAAUCUGUAAAAUAUUGUGGUCCGAAAACAAUAUGACAAACAAUAAACAAACCAUUU
ensembl:lncRNA